GGGGCCCGCACAAGCGGUGGUGCAUGUAGUUUAAUUCGAAGCAACGCGAAGAACCUUACCAGGUCUUGACAUCCCGAUGCUAUUUCUAGAGAUAGAAGUUACCUCGGUACAUCGGUGACAGGUGGUGCAUGGUUAGUCGUCAGCUCGUGUCGUGAGAUGUUGGGUUAAGUCCCGCAACGAGCGCAACCCCUAUUGUUAGUUGCCAUCAUUCAGUUGGGCACUCUAGCGAGACUGCCGGUAAUAAACCGGAGGAAGGUGGGGAUGACGUCAAAUCAUCAUGCCCCUUAUGACCUGGGCUACACACGUGCUACAAUGGUUGGUACAACGAGUUGCGAGUCGGUGACGGCGAGCUAAUCUCUUAAAGCCAAUCUCAGUUCGGAUUGUAGGCUGCAACUCGCCUACAUGAAGUCGGAAUCGCUAGUAAUCGCGGAUCAGCACGCCGCGGUGAAUACGUUCCCGGGCCUU
rnacentral:rRNA from 1 species